AUGAUAAUUAGUUUAAGCCAAAAACAAAUGAUUUCG
rnacentral:tRNA from 1 species